UCGGUGAUCACCGGUGGCGGUCGAUUUCCAAAUUCGGCUUGGAGGGCGAGCGCGGCGAGUUCGAAUGCUGCGUCUCUUUUGGGUUGGAUUCUCUCUUCGAGUACGUCUCGUCUACAUUGUAGAUACAACUCGUUCAUCGUUACGUCUGUU
ensembl:ncRNA Y38C1AB.9 ncRNA